CACAGAUUUGAGUGAAUGGGAGGGGAGAGGCUACCCAUGGCUACAUAUAUCUUCCACCCGUACAUGAACUGUGAGAGUGCGGGGCUGCACUACAAGCAGACAACAUGGGGAAAGGCUUCUUUAUCGGGAAAACUGUUGGGAUAAUGGCUAUCAUCCUGGGUUCAGCUGCCCUGGCUACUAUCAUUGCUCUAUCUGUUGUCUACUCACAGGAAAAGGCAAAGAAUAAUAAUCAGGUCUUGCCAACAGAUGGGGGAACAACAUCCAGCCCCCCUGUCACACCGCCGCCGUCCAAUGAACCAUGGGACAGGUAUCGGCUGCCCAAGAGCCUGGUGCCGGUACACUACAAUGUCACCCUGUGGCCGCGUCUGACUGAAGAUGCCACAACUAAACUCUACAUCUUUACUGGUGAGUCCAGUGUGGAGUUUGAGUGCACUGAAGAGACUGACCUGAUUCUUAUCCACUCUAAUAAGCUGAACUACACAAAAUUGGAUAACGUCCACUUGGCCCGGCUCACAUCAGUCAAUAGUGAGGUCAAAGCCCCCUCAAUCAAGAACUCCUGGCUCCAGAAUGUGACACAGUAUCUAGUCCUGCAGCUGGAUGUUAAACUGAUUAAGGACCACAAGUACCACCUGGAAACAAAGUUUCAGGGAGAGCUGGCAAAUGACCUUGGAGGCUUCUAUAGAAGCGAAUACAUGGAGGACGGCAUAAAAAAGGUUGUUGCUACUACUCAGAUGCAACCAACAGAUGCCAGGAAGGCCUUCCCCUGUUUUGAUGAGCCAGCUAUGAAAUCUGUUUUCUACAUCACACUGAUCCACGAUGUUGGAACUGUAGCCCUUUCCAAUGGCGAGGUAAAACAAUCAAGCAACGUCACCAUAGAUGGUCACAAUGUGCAAAUGACCAUUUUUGAGCCAACAAAAAAAAUGUCCACCUACCUGUUGGCGUUCAUUGUCAGUGACUUUGACUUCAUCAGUAAUACAGUUGAUGGAGUUUUGAUUCGCAUAUUCGCAAGGAAGCCUGCUAUUGCUGCUAAACAAGGAGAUUAUGCCCUUAACAAAACUGGACCUAUCCUUAAGUUCUUUGAGAAGUAUUACAAUUCCAGUUACCCUCUGCCAAAGUCUGAUCAAAUAGCUCUACCAGACUUUAAUGCUGGAGCCAUGGAAAACUGGGGUCUGAUCACAUACAGAGAGACAGCACUGCUCUACGAUGAAGCGUUCUCCUCCAACUCCAACAAGCAAAGGAUUGCGACCAUCAUUGCUCAUGAACUGGCUCACAUGUGGUUUGGUAAUCUGGUGACCUUAAGAUGGUGGAAUGACCUGUGGCUGAAUGAAGGCUUUGCCUCCUAUGUUGAGUACCUGGGAGCACACGAGGCUGAACCCGACUGGAAUUUGAAAGACCUCAUCGUGCUCAGUGACGUCCAUAGGGUGUUUGCCGUCGAUGCUCUGGCCUCUUCUCACCCCCUUUCCUCCAGAGAAGAGGACAUCCAGAAACCUGCACAGAUCAGUGAGCUGUUUGACGCCAUCUCAUACAGCAAGGGAGCAUCUGUUCUGAGGAUGUUGUCGGACUUCCUAACAGAAGAUGUCUUCAGAGAGGGACUAAUGACUUACCUGGAUACAUUUGCAUAUGGGAAUGCAGUAUACACAGACCUAUGGAACCAGCUGCAGAUGGCUGUUAAUGCUAGCAGAACUCAACUUCCUGACACUGUUGAAAAUAUCAUGAACACAUGGGUGCUGCAGAUGGGCUUUCCUGUGGUUACAAUUAACACCACAAGUGGGGUCGUGUCCCAAGAACACUUUCUCUUAGAUCCAGACUCAGAAGUUACGGCUGUAUCUCCCUUCAAAUAUGAAUGGAUUGUUCCAAUCAAGUGGAUGAAAACUAGAGACAUUCAAGAACCGCAAUGGUUGAGGGGUAAAUCAGCCACAAUAAAUGAGAUGAAGGCAUCAGGAGGUGACUGGGUUCUGGCCAACCUCAAUGUAGUCGGUUACUACAGAGUCAACUAUGAUCUAGGCAACUGGAACAGACUGGUAGAAGUUCUGAGCAACAAUCAUACGCUUAUUCCAGUUAUCAACAGAGCUCAGUUGGUGGAUGAUGCCUUUAACCUAGCCAGAGCAAAGAUGAUUUCUACGGUACUGGCCCUGGAUACCACCAAGUAUUUGAUCAAAGAGACAGACUAUAUGCCCUGGGAGUCAGCCCUGAGUAACCUGGACUUCUUCUACCUCAUGUUUGACCGCAACGAGGUUUAUGGUCCCAUGCAGAAUUAUUUGAGGAAACAGGUCACCCCUCUGUUUGAGUACUACAAGAGAAUGACUUUCAACUGGACUAUCGUACCUCCUGGACACCUGGAUCAGUACAACCAAGUGAAUGCUAUCAGCCUGGCGUGCAGGACAGGCCUUGAAGAAUGCCAAAAUCUGUCCCAGGAAUGGUUCAAUGAAUGGAUGAACUCAAGUGAAAACCAAAUCCACCCCAACCUUCGCUCCACUGUCUACUGUAAUGCUAUUGCAGCAGGUGGCGCUCAAGAGUGGGAGUUUGCUUGGUCACAGUUUGAGCAAGCCACCAUUGCCAUUGAAGCUGACAAACUCCGCUCUGCCCUGGCCUGCACGAAGCAACCCUGGCUGCUUAACAGGUUCCUGGAGUACACUCUUCAUCCAGACAAGAUCAGAAAACAAGAUGCCACCUCCACCAUUGUUUACAUUGCUAACAAUGUGGUUGGACAGUCUCUGGCGUGGGACUUUGUCAGAGCUCGAUGGUCAUUCAUUUUUGCAGAGUAUGGUGGUGGAUCCUUCUCCUUCUCCAACCUCAUCAAUGGAGUCACCAAGCGCUUCUCCACUGAAUUUGAGCUUCAGCAGCUGAAGCAGUUUAAGGCAGAGAACAAUGUGAUUGGUUUUGGCUCUGGGACACUGGCAGUGGAGCAGUCCAUUGAGAGAACCGUCAGCAACAUAAAAUGGAUCACAGAAAACAAGGAGAAUGUUCUAAAUUGGUUCAACAAUGCAUAAUAGCUCUAUGUAUGACAUGCAAUUUAUAGAGGUUCUGUUUUCAUCAACUACAUCUUGCAUGGAGGGGGACAAGAUUUCACAAAACGAGUAAAUCUGACCAAAAUGGGCUGGAUCUGUUGCCACUGUUGGGUUGAACAAAAAAUGAUAAAGAAUCAUUGAAAGUUGAAUAAAUAAUUAUGAAAGAAAUAAUUAUGAAUUCAAUAUUAUCUCUGCAUGUUAAAAAGAGACAAGAUGAAAACAUUUGCAUUAUAGUCAUAGUUUGAAUUGAUUUCUUUGCGCACAUUUUUAUUUUAAGUUGGAUUUUUUGUGAUUCAGGGUUGCUUUGUAACUUGACACUUGAAAUGUGAGGAUCAAAUUUUAGUGGCUUGAAUGACUAAAAUACAUAACGAAACAUAAAAUGAUCUAGCACAAUAAAAAGACUACCACUAAUGUC